CCCAGCUGGCCCCCAUGUACAGCAGGGGACAACUGGCCAGGUGUAUUGUGGGAGUUGUCCCUUCCCCGGGUGGAUACGGAAUCACACUCGGCCCAUCGCUGGUGCCUACUGUCCAGGGGCUCACGGGCUCUGCACAUGGUCUAUAACCUGCUCCCCGAUUUUCCCCAAGGAGGCUAUCCCGAUGCAGUGCAAGAGCCUGAGUCAUGUGAUGAUCCGCCCCAGCCUCAAACUCCAGUUCAUCACUGCCGCGCCUUAGGUGACCAGUGGAGGUGUCGCAGAUGGACUAUCAGCUGGACUCCCCCUCGGCAUGACGCCUACAGCCUGUUUAAGGAUGCGCCUUUGAAAAUUCUCACCAAUGCCAACACCAAGAAGCCCUGUGUAUAUAAACGCUUUAUAACACGUCGUGCUGCCCUAACUUCGGCUGUCGGGCGGGGCCCUACAUUGUCCUCACUAGGUCAGUGGACUGGGCACGUCCAUCUCUCUUGAUCAGCAAUUCCAAAUGCCCUCUCUGCCGUCUGAGCGGAGACGGCACUGUGGGCUCAUAGAUCGGGCCUGGGACCUGGGUUCUGAUCCUGGGUGGGGAUUCUCCAUUGUUCUCAAUGGGGCCAGGGUGGGAGGGUUCUCCAGUGUUCUCAGUGGGAGCUGGGCAUACGUGAUCAUCUGACCCUUCCAAUUCAGCUCUGCUCCUCCCCCUUCAUCUGGAGGCUCUUUGAGGCAGG